rnacentral:rRNA from 1 species
UACGGAGGAUCCGAGCGUUAUCCGGAUUUACUGGGUGUAAAGGGAGCGUAGGCGGUGCAGCAAGUCAGAAGUGAAAGCCCGGGGCUCAACUCCGGGACUGCUUUUGAAACUGUUGAACUAGAUUGCAGGAGAGGUAAGUGGAAUUCCUAGUGUAGCGGUGAAAUGCGUAGAUAUUAGGAGGAACACCAGUGACGAAGGCGGCUUACUGGACUGUAAAUGACGCUGAGGCUCGAAAGCGUGGGGAGCAAACAGG